rnacentral:rRNA from 1 species
UACGGAAGGCAGCAGUGGGGAAUAUUGCACAAUGGGCGAAAGCCUGAUGCAGCUAUGCCGCGUGUAUGAAGAAGGCCUUAGGGUUGUAAAGUACUUUCAUCGGGGAGGAAAAAACAAAACUAAUAAUUUUAUUUCUUGACGUUACCCGAAAAAGAAGCACCGGCUAACUCCGUGCCAGCAGCCGCGGUAAUACGGAGGGUGCUAGCGUUAAUCAGAAUUACUGGGCGUAAAGAGCACGUAGGUGGUUUUUUAAGUCAGAUGUGAAAUCCCUGGGCUUAACCUAGGAACUGCAGUUUGAAACUGAAAUACUAGAGUAUCGUAGAGGGAGGUAGAAUUCUAGGUGUAGCGGUGAAAUGCGUAGAUAUCUGGAGGAAUACCUGUGGCGAAAGCGGCCUCCUAAACGAAUACUGACACUGAGGUGCGAAAGCGUGGGGAGCAAACAGGGAUUAGAUACC